rnacentral:rRNA from 1 species
AAAUCAAGCGCGAAAAGGGCGUUUGGUGAAUGCCUUGGCAGUAAGAGGCGAUGAAAGACGUGAUACUCUGCGAUAAGUCAUGGGGAGCUGAGAAUAAGCUUUGAUCCAUGAAUUUCUGAAUGGGGCAACCCACCUGAUACUUUGUUAUUAUUACCCUUCUGGGUAGCUAAUAAUGAGGUAAACCAGGUAUUUAUAGACUGAAUACAUAGGUUUAUAAAAGCAAACCCGGGGAACUGAAACAUCUAAGUACCCGGAGGAAAGGAAAUCAAUUGAUACUCCCCUAGUAGCGGCGAGCGAACGGGGACCAGCCGAGCCUCAAUUGUGGUUAGAAUGCGUUGGAAUGCGCAACCAAAGUGGGUGAUAGUCCCGUAUAAGAAGCAUGAGAGGACGUAUUAAGUAGGGCGGAACACGUGAAAUUCUGUCUGAAGAUCGGAGGACCACCUUCGAAGGCUAAGUACUCCUUACUGACCGAUAGUGAACCAGUACCGUGAGGGAAAGGUGAAAAGCACCCCGACGAGGGGAGUGAAACAGUACCUGAAACCGAACGCCUACAAUCAGUUGGAGGAUCUUUACGAUCUGACAGCGUACCUUUUGUAUAAUGGGUCAUCGACUUGGUCUCACAAGCAAGCUUAAGCCGUUAGGUGUAGGCGCAGCGAAAGCGAGUCUUAAUAGGGCGUUGAGUUUGUGGGAUCAGACCCGAAACCGAGUGAUCUAGGCAUGGCCAGGUUGAAGGUAAGGUAACACUUACUGGAGGACCGAACCCACAUCCGUUGAAAAGGAUCGGGAUGAGCUGUGCCUAGGGGUGAAAGGCCAAUCAAACUCGGAGAUAGCUGGUUCUCUGCGAAAUCUAUUUAGGUAGAGCGUCAUCCGAAUACCCUCGGGGGUAGAGCACUGGAUGGGUAAUGGGGCCCCACAGGCUUACUGAUCCUAACCAAACUCCGAAUACCGAGGAGUACUAGAUGGCAGACACACGGCGAAUGCUAACGUCCGUCGUGAAGAGGGAAACAACCCUGACCUACAGCUAAGGCCCCUAAUUCAUGGCUAAGUGGGAAAGCAGGUGAGACGACCAAAACAACCAGGAGGUUGGCUUAGAAGCAGCCAUCCUUUAAAGAUAGCGUAACAGCUCACUGGUCUAAAUAAGUUGUCUUGCGGCGAAGAUGUAACGGGGCUCAAGCCAUGAGCCGAAGCUUAGGAUGCAUUUAUUGCAUGGUAGCAGAGCGUAGUGUGACAUAAUUCCAUGUCUCCUUAGCCCAAGGUGGGUUUUACCCACCCUACGGUCUUGGAGACGCGGAGUUUUCUGUGAAGCCGGCCUGUGAGGGAUCCGGUGGAGAGAUCACUAGUGAGAAUGAUGACAUGAGUAGCGACAAAGAGUGUGAGAGACACUCUCGCCGAAAAUCCAAGGGUUCCUGCUUAAAGCUAAUCUGAGCAGGGUAAGCCGACCCCUAAGGCGAGGCCGAAAGGCGUAGUCGAUGGGAACCAGGUUAAUAUUCCUGGGCCAGAUGGAAGUGACGGAUCUCGAGGGUAGUUCAUCCUUAUCGGAUUGAAUGGGCUGCUUAGAGGUCCCUGGAAAUAGCUCCAUCGCUAGAUCGUACCCUAAACCGACACAGGUGGAUAGGUAGAGAAUACCAAGGCGCUUGAGAGAACUAUGUUGAAGGAACUCGGCAAAAUACCUCCGUAAGUUCGCGAGAAGGAGGCCCGGUUCCUAGGCAACUAGGGGCUGGGGGCACAAACCAGGGGGUGGCGACUGUUUAUUAAAAACACAGGGCUCUGCGAAGUCGUAAGACGACGUAUAGGGUCUGACGCCUGCCCGGUGCCUGAAGGUUAAAAGGAGGGGUGAGAGCUCUGAAUUGAAGCCCAGGUAAACGGCGGCCGUAACUAUAACGGUCCUAAGGUAGCGAAAUUCCUUGUCGGGUAAGUUCCGACCUGCACGAAUGGCGUAACGACUUCCCCGCUGUCUCCAACAUAGACUCAGCGAAAUUGAAUUACCGGUCAAGAUGCCGGUUACCCGCGGUUAGACGGAAAGACCCCGUGCACCUUUACUACAACUUCACACUGGCAUUAGGCCGAACAUGUGCAGGAUAGGUGGUGGGCUUUGAAGCGUGAACGCCAGUUUGCGUGGAGCCUCCCUUGAGAUACCACCCUUGUUCUGCUUGAUGUCUAACCGCGGUCCGUUAUCCGGAUCCGGGACCCUGUGUGGUGGGUAGUUUGACUGGGGCGGUCGCCUCCUAAAUCGUAACGGAGGCGCGCGAAGGUUGGCUCAGAGCGGUCGGAAAUCGCUCGUUGAGUGCAAUGGCAGAAGCCAGCCUGACUGCGAGACUGACAAGUCGAGCAGAGUCGAAAGACGGCCAUAGUGAUCCGGUGGUCCCAAGUGGGAGGGCCAUCGCUCAACGGAUAAAAGGUACGCCGGGGAUAACAGGCUGAUACUGCCCAAGAGUCCAUAUCGACGGCAGUGUUUGGCACCUCGAUGUCGGCUCAUCUCAUCCUGGGGCUGGAGCAGGUCCCAAGGGUACGGCUGUUCGCCGUUUAAAGAGGUACGUGAGCUGGGUUUAGAACGUCGUGAGACAGUUCGGUCCCUAUCUUCCGUGGGUGUAGGAUACUUGAGAGGAGUUGCCCCUAGUACGAGAGGACCGGGGUGAACGAUCCACUGGUGGACCAGUUGUUAUGCCAAUAGCAGUGCUGGGUAGCUAUGAUCGGACAGGAUAACCGCUGAAGGCAUCUAAGCGGGAAGCCCCCCUCAAAACAAGGUAUCCCUGAGAGCCGAGGUAGACCACCUCGUCGAUAGGCCAGAGAUGUAAGCGUAGUAAUACGUUCAGUUGACUGGUACUAAUGGCUCGAUAGGCUUGAUUUG